AUUUUCCACCCUUUAUAUUUGGUAUUUUUCUGAAUGUACAUUGGACGGAUUAUUGUGACAGGAAAGUAGUAGUUCCACGCUUUGAAAUGAGCCCCAUUGGUCUUAUUCGGUCAUUUUUGUUUGUUUAAAUGUGUUCGCAUCUUCCAGCUGUAACGCCCAAAAGUCAUGCUUUCGUUUUUGGGGUACAUUAUUAUUUUAAAUACCAUUUUUACUUACAUAUGUUAUAUACAUCAACUAUGAAUUAUUUAAAUGUAUUUGAAUAUUAACGGUCACACAGGUCCCCUAGUAAAAAGAGGUAUAAUUAAAAUACAACAUUGGAACCCCUGGUGGCAAAUGACGGAACUACGCAAAACUGUCAGAUUGGGAUCAGCUGCUGUCAUGAGAAAACAACAAUCGUCGACCAGCCAAAAAGGUAUAAAAGGAGACGCAUUUCACACAAUCGAGACUGCCCUUUUUUACAUUGAUUUUUUUGGGGUUUUCUGAAUUUUGAAUUUUGUAUUUAAUUAUUUGUAUAAUUGCCGCUGGCAGAAUUCUGCAGCGUUUUAAUAUAUUUGUAGUAGAUAGCGAAUAGCCAUAUGUUUAUUUUAUUCCUAAUUUAGCAGUAAGUUAUGCUGUUUAGAUUUUAAGUAUUUUAUCAAUAAAUAUGGCCUUAGGCAAAAACGAAACGAAACACAAUCGAGAUCAGUCUUCUGUUGAUGGUUGGUAAGUCAAGAGUUAUUGGGAGGAAGAAAAGGCGCGCAACCUUGGUUGAAUUGAGUCUUAGUAAGCCAAACAAUAAGCCUUGACUAUUUGUGGUGACUGGACUGGACUGAACGCAGGGUCAAGUGAGGGUUGUAGCAAUACUCCCUAUUCUUGGGGCUGCGUUGACGGCGACUGAACGCAGGGUCAAGUGAGGGCUGUAGCAAUACUCCCUAUUCUUCGGGCUGCGUUGACGGCGACUGACGUACUCAGCGGGCUGCUGCUGUGCCAAAGCUGCCGCCACCCUAUUCGUCGUUCGCCUCUCCAUCGGGCCGCCGCUGUGCCAAGCUGCCGCCACUACUACUCGCCGCUGACGUAUUCAUCGGGCCGCCGUUGUACCAAAGCUGCCGCCACUACUAUUCGUCACCUGCGUAUUCAUCGGGCCGCCGCUGUGCCAAGCUGCCGCCACUACUACUCGCCGCUGACGUAUUCAUCGGGCCGCCGCUGUGCCAAAGCUGCCGCACUACUAUUCGUCAUAUUCGUCACCUGCGUAUUCAUUUAACAUUUCGACUGAACUUUGUGAUUUAGUGUUCUUCGUAAAAAGUUCUGAACGUGAUUUUAUUGUGUUUAGUGUAGUAUUUAGUGUUAUGUAAGGAAAUAAAUUUAAAACGUUUUAAGAAAACAUUUUUGCUUCGCUCUCUCUCUCUUUAUGUCCUAACAAAUAAAUUCUUGUGACGACUCUGGCCCCCGCUGAACCUGCCCCAGCUUCAAAGUGAAAACACGUCGUCACAAUGGCGCCCGAGCAGGGACAUGAAGGAGAGAAAGAAUAAAUAAAUGAGUGAACAAUAAUUAGACAAAUACGGAUGAAAACCCAGUAAAAAAAAAACGAAAAAAAAAACUGAAACAAGUGAGAAUAAUAAAAAAUGUCAAACGAAAAGACAAUGUUGAAGGUCUCCUGGGCCUACAUGCUAAAACAAAAAGACUUGGUAACAUAUCUUACUGAAUUCAAUCUUGAUCCAGUUGGAAAAGUGGACGAUCUCCGAAAAAGAUGGGCUAAAUUUCUCCACGACGACCAUGAAGCCGAUGUAUACAGACGGCUUAUAGAGUUGCAAAACAGACAUGAAAGUACCAGUCCGACCAAAUCGCCGACAUUGCGAGCCGUCACAAAACAACCCCUUAUAACCGUAACACCGUGUGGAGCAGAAGCAAUAGUAUUAUCCCCAAUAAAAACAGAGUACGCCCUUCCCCACACUUCCGCGGAAAAGGUCACAUGGAGAGCCAAGCACAGGGGUAACAAACGGUCAAAAAGUACAGAAGUUGUCGCCAACAAACCCCGAAUAUGGAUUUCAAAAAAAUUCUCCGCCCAAGUCAUCCAAUAAUUCGUCGUUAAUCGUAAUUCUCGACCAAAUCCGAAAAUGGAAUAUUACUUUUGAAAAGGGAAUGGACCCUAUUGGAUUCGUAGAACGUGUAGAAGAAAUGGCUGAAAUGUACAUCGUGGAAUUGAAUCAAAUAACUAAAGUAAUGCCAGAGUUGUUACGAGGUAAAGCUUUAAUCUGGUUAAGGAACAACAAUCGACACUGGACUACCUGGAGCAAAUUUAAGAGCGAUUUUCUGAAAUUCUUUUGCCCCUGAGAUACUUUGAUAAAUUGGAGGAUGAAAUUAGGAGAAGGAUUCAGCGUAAUAAGGAGCCGUUUAAGGAAUAUGUACUCUCUAUACAGCAUCUUAUGCAGCACACCAAUAUGACCGAAGAACAAAAAUUGGAACGAAUUUUUAGAAACGCGCAGUCGGAUUAUCAAUGGUACAUUCGCCGUAAAGACUUUACCACACUUUCGGAAUUGAUCUCCUUGGCAGACGAACUAGAAAGCAUACCAAAUAAUUCUCGGUCAGAACAGCCGCGACAUCAACAAAACUAUAAUCGACAUGCAGAUAACUCUAGAAAUAACCUGUAUUGCACCAAUCAAGGUGACCAAGUGCUAAACGAAAGCCCAUCCAAUACGGAAACGCAGCAGGACGAACCCCCGGCAAAGAAGAGUAACCAGAAUAUUACAUCAUUGCAAUGUUAAGAAUAUCGCCUUACUGCAACUGUCUUAAUAGAGGGGAAAGCUAUUAAAGCAACUGUCGACACUGGUGCCACUAGCUGUUUUAUAAAAAGAGAGUUUGCUGAAAAGAUCAAGAAAAGGUUUACUUAUUCACGAUAUGAGGCAAAUGUUAUCCUCGCAGACGGCACCGCGGUAAACAUCACAAGAUCAACGGUGUUACCUGUUACAUUUGGAAGCCAAAGCUCAGAUGUUACAUUUCUCAUCAUGCCACAAUUCAAGGAAAACAUCAUAUUGGGAUUGGAAUUUCUAAAACAGUUCCACACGACCAUUCACUGCGCCGGUAUAAGCGUCAAAUUAAGUAAGCCAACCACAUCAACGGAGCGUUGUACCGUGGCUAUAGGAGAGGAAACCCCAUCAAAAGAAGUAAUAGAUACAAUGACAGCUACGAAUAAUGUAUCCCCCAACGUGAAGGAAGAUAAAUCAUUACCAGGAACGCCGGGACACGUUGUCAAACUAUCAUCAACAUCGCUAUCUUCCCGAUCGUCGUCGUCAUCCUCAUCAGCCUGGUCGUCUUCAUCGUCAUCCUCAUCAGCCUUGUCGUCUUCAUCAUCAUCCACAAGCCAAACGAUGACACCUCAUCAGCCAACAUUGUGUAGCAGUCAACCUUCCAUCGAUGAAGUGUUUAUACCCAGUAAGGAGAAUAAUAGCACACCAAGUACGCUCAAAUUGCCAGUCACUGAAAUCCCAACUGAGACAACGCCAUCGUCCUCGACAGACAAUCCCGGGAACGAUAACACAUUUCUCGAACUGCCAAAUUAUCCCGAAAACCUACAAAGCCGUAUCGAGAAGUUUAAAAACAAUUGGAAAAGGGGACACAAACUGAAGCGAAUGGUUAAACAAGAUGGCAAGCAGUACCGCAUAAUAAUAUCAGCAGACGGGGUAGUGAAGGUAUCUCUCCGAACUUCUGCAAUUGGUCUCUAACAUACCUUUAUAUUCGACCGAGAUAUAGUCGAACCAAAGUGCCCAUGUCGGAGAAAUAAAAGGUUACAUAACACCCUAGGGCUUCCUGGCUAUUGAAACCCAAUACCAAUAGAGAAAGCAAAUCAAGGAAAUCAAAAAUCAGAGGGAGGAAGAGAGGCCAUGUAACGCCCAAAAGUCAUGCUUUCGUUUUUGGGGUACAUUAUUAUUUUAAAUACCAUUUUUACUUACUUAUGUUAUAUACAUCAACUAUGAAUUAUUUAAAUGUAUUUGAAUAUUAACGGUCACACAGGUCCCCUAGUAAAAAGAGGUAUAAUUAAAAUACAACAUUGGAACCCCUGGUGGCAAAUGGCGGAACUACGCAAAACUGUCAGAUUGGGAUCAGCUGCUGUCAUGAGAAAACAACAAUCGUUGACCAGCCAAAAAGGAAUAAAAGGAGACGCAUUUCACACAAUCGAGAUCAGUCUUCUAUUGAUGGCUGGUAAGUCAAGAGUGAUUGGGAGGAAGAAAAGGCGCGCAACCUUGGUUGAAUUGAGUCUUAGUAAGCCAAACAAUAAGCCUUGACUAUUUGUGGUGACUGGACUGGACUGAAUGCAGGGUCAAGUGAGGGUUGUAGCAAUACUCCCUAUUCUUCGGGCUGCGUUGACGGCGACUGAAUGCAGGGUCAAGUGAGGGUUGUAGCAAUACUCCCUAUUCUUCGGGCUGCGUUGACGGCGACUGAACGCAGGGUCAAGUGAGGGUUGUAGCAAUACUCCCUAUUCUUCGGGCUGCGUUGACGGCGACUGAACGCAGGGUCAAGUGAGGGUUGUAGCAAUACUCCCUAUUCUUCGGGCUGCGUUGACGGCGACUGAACGCAGGGUCAAGUGAGGGUUGUAGCAAUACUCCCUAUUCUUCGGGCUGCGUUGACGGCGACUGAACGCAGGGUCAAGUGAGGGCUGUAGCAAUACUCCCUAUUCUUCGGGCUGCGUUGACGGCGACUGACGUACUCAGCGGGCUGCUGCUGUGCCAAAGCUGCCGCCACCCUAUUCGUCGUUCGCGUAUUCAUCGGGCCGCCGCUGUGCCACUCUAUUCGCCGCUGACGUAUUCAUCGGGCCGCCGCUGUGCCAAAGCUGCCGCCACUACUAUUCGUCACCUGCGUAUUCAUCGGGCCGCCGCUGUGCCAAAGCCGCCGCCACCCUAUUCGUCGUUCGCCUCUCCAUCGGGCCGCCGCUGUGCCAAGCUGCCGCCACUACUACUCGCCGCUGACGUAUUCAUCGGGCCGCCGCUGUGCCAAAGCUGCCGCCACUACUAUUCGUCACCUGCGUAUUCAUCGGGCCGCCGCUGUGCCAAAGCCGCCGCCACCCUAUUCGUCGUUCGCCUCUCCAUCGGGCUGCCGCUGUGCCAAGCUGCCGCCACUACUAUUCGUCGUUCGCCUCUUCAUCGGGCCGCCGCUGUGCCAAAGCUGCCGCCACUACUAUUCGUCACCUGCGUAUUCAUCGGGCCGCCGCUGUGCCAAAGCCGCCGCCACCCUAUUCGUCGUUCGCCUCUCCAUCGGGCCGCCGCUGUGCCAAGCUGCCGCCACUACUACUCGCCGCUGACGUAUUCAUCGGGCCGCCGCUGUGCCAAGCUGCCACUGCUACCCGCUUACUAACAUUUUGACUGAACUUUGUGAUUUAGUGUUCUUCGUAAAAAGUUCUGAACGUGAUUUUAUUGUGUUUAGUGUAGUAUUUAGUGUUAUGUAGGGAAAUAAAUUUAUAACGUUUUAAGAAAACAUUUUUGCUUCGCUCUCUCUCUCUUUAUGUCCUAACAAAUAAAUUUUUGUGACGACUCUGGCCCCCGCUGAACCUGCCCCAGCUUCAAAGUGAAAACACGUCGUCAUACAGCUGAACCACGAUGUAGGCCCUAGAGUUGAAAGGGGUAGCGAAGCGCACCGGGUUCAGCUAGUAUUGUUAUAAAAAUCGGAGUUCUGCAUCGAAACAAUCAAUUUAGUGACGAUGAGCUAAGUCAAAUACAAACAUUCAAAAAGAAAUUCCAGAAUACUCAAUUGUCCAUAAUUUCGUUCUAUGAGGUGGAUUAAAGCUUUGACCUGCCAUAUUUGCAAAAGUCCAUAACUGAAUCACGGGAAUCACUAAAGCUAGUAGUGAAUAGACACUUAACUGAGAAGUCAUUGCUUCGAAUUGAUGAAGUAUCCGACUUUUUCGUUGAUGCACAUUUAGAUACUAGAUACUGCAUUUAAACCAGACUCACCAUAUAUCGUCCAUAAUAUUAUAACACCAUGUAUAUUAUAUGUAUUUUUUGUUUAUUGAAAUACAACUAAAAAUUUCCUUAUAUAGAAAAUAUAAUAUUGUAAAAUAAGCGGCAAUUAUUGAUUAAUUUAUCAUUCAUUACGGAGUUGCAUUGAACCAGCUAUGUCAAUAGACGGAAACAAUAAAGUUGAGAAAUAAUUGCUCCGCUCAUAUAAAGCUUCAUUACUACAAAAAUUAAAAGUAUUGAUAUUGAUAAAUCUAGUUUAAAUAUAGGAUAAUUAUAUACCAUGUACAUCAAAGUAAACAACGUACGUAUUUUUACUAUUUAUAUUUUUUCACUUGAUGAACUACAAGAGCUAAACGUGAAAAAUUAAUUUGGAAGCAAUGAAACUACUGUGUAUUGUCCUUGUCUACACAAUUAUAAGUAUUUUUGUUCAAAUUAAAUGUACUAUUAAAAGAUAAAAGACAAAA